rnacentral:rRNA from 1 species
UACGGAGGGUGCAAGCGUUAUCCGGAUUUACUGGGUUUAAAGGGUGCGUAGGUGGGUUGGUAAGUCAGUGGUGAAAUACUUUCGCUUAACGAAGGAACUGCCAUUGAUACUAUCAAUCUUGAAUGUAGUGGAGGUAGGCGGAAUAUGUCAUGUAGCGGUGAAAUGCUUAGAUAUGACAUAGAACACCAAUUGCGAAGGCAGCUGGCUACACGAAUAUUGACACUGAUGCACGAAAGCGUGGGGAUCAAACAGG